rnacentral:rRNA from 1 species
UACAUGGGGUGCAAACGUUUGCUCGGAAUUAUUGGGCGUAAAGCGCACGUAGGCGGUUCGUUAAGUCGGAUGUGAAAGCCCUCGGCUCAACUGAGGAAGUGCACCCGAAACUGGCGAGCUUGAGUACGAAAGAGGAUCGCGGAAUUCCCGGUGUAGAGGUGAAAUUCGUAGAUAUCGGGAGGAACACCGGUGGCGAAGGCGGCGAUCUGGGUCGAUACUGACGCUGAGGUGCGAAAAGCGUGGGGAGCAAACAGG